rnacentral:lncRNA from 1 species
UUCUCUCCUUCACGUUUCAAGCUACACGCAGACGCCGCCACCAUCCCUCCUCUCACCUUCUCAAUCUGAUCGGUUUUUCCAUUGAAGAAACCUGUGACCAAGACCUCUCCACUGAAGGUGAGUUCUUUCUGUUCCCUGUAUAAUCAAUUUUAUACAUUGUUUCUUCCAGUCUCUAAUUACAUUUUUCUUGAUAUUGAAUUUAUGCUCUGCAACUUGCAUCUCUGUUUGCAUUUUUUGUUGAACGAUUUACUCCCUUUUUUUUGGGCCUUUUGUAAAAUUAUUGAGUUCAUUAUAUUCCUAUGCAAUUUGAAGUGAUUAAAUUCAUGUUUUGGGUACGUAAAGCUCUGACCACAAUGAAACACACAUAUGCAUAGUGCUUAAAGCUGCUUUUGACUUCAUUGAACUUUUGGUUCUAUCAAGUCAUUAGUGAUUUUUUGUUUGGGAUGUAUCCGAGUGAUAAUCCGGGAUACAUCCCAAAUGUGCAAAAAAAUUUAGCAUAUAUUGUUAACAAUCAUAUUAAGAGAUUAUUGCCUUCAAAGCGUAAUCCAUUUUUGGUAGCCUGUCGUUGGCUUUUAUUAGCUUUCGCUUUGAUGAACAAUGUGCUAUGGACUUUCAGUGUAUGUCUAAACCAAUUUGAGGGGCUGCUAUAUAGUUCUGAUAUUUUUCACAGAUUCGGUUGUUGGAAAAUGCCUUGAAUUUAUGAUACUCUGUUGAGUUCUUUGCUCUGUUUUGGUGGUUUUCCUCUUGCUUGUUAGAAUGGUCUUUCAACAUUUUUGCUUUCCUUUUCACCAACCCUCUUAAAUGUCGGUCCUAGUAGACGUGCUUGCAUUUUGUUUCUUCUUGUAGCAGCAAGUGAAAUAGUUGUAGACUUUUAACAAAAUAAAGAAUUUACUUUCCUAGUUAUUCCUUUUAUUGUUUAGGUGACGAAUGGAAUCCACGAUCAAGCAUGCUGUGGUGGUGAAAGUUAUGGGUCGGACUGGAUCUCGAGGGCAGGUGACUCAAGUGAGAGUCAAGUUUCUGGAUGAUCAGAAUCGUUUCAUCAUGAGGAAUGUCAAGGGACCAGUGAGGGAGGGGGAUAUCCUUACCUUGCUCGAGUCUGAGAGGGAAGCCAGAAGAUUGCGUUGAUAGGAGAUGGGUUUUCUUCGCUGAUGCGUUUACUUCUCAGCUUCGGUUAGUUGCAAACAACUGUUAUUUAUGCUACUGGUGAACUGCAGUUACGUUGCAAAUCACUAUUCUUAUAUUUUUAGUUUAUGUUUCUUGGUAUUAUUAGCAUCACGAACUUGGUAUAUGGAACCUUUUAAACUUCUAUUUCUGAAAAUCCUUAGGUUUGGUUGAACAUGUAGGCCCAAUGGACAUCAUCUUGGCUAAUAAUUCAAUAAUAUUUCCA